rnacentral:rRNA from 1 species
CACGUGGAUAAUCUACCUUCUGGUUGGGGAUAACUUCGGGAAACCGGCGCUAAUACCGAAUAAUAUGGCAGUUUCACAAGGAGCAGUCAUCAAAGAUGGGGACCUUCGGGCCUAUCACCAGAAGAUGAGUCCGCGGCCCAUUAGCUUGUUGGUGGGGUAAUGGCCUACCAAGGCUACGAUGGGUAGCCGGCCUGAGAGGGUGAUCGGCCACAUUGGGACUGAGACACGGCCCAG